UACGUAGGUGGCAAGCGUUGUCCGGAUUUACUGGGCGUAAAGAGCGCGCAGGCGGUCGGAUAAGUCGAAUGUGAAAGCCCCCGGCUCAACUGGGGAGGGGCAUUCGAUACUGUUCGACUCGAAGGCAGGAGAGGGAAGUGGAAUUCCCGGUGUAGUGGUGAAAUGCGUAGAUAUCGGGAGGAACACCAGUGGCGAAGGCGACUUCCUGGCCUGUUCUUGACGCUGAGGCGCGAAAGCUAGGGGAGCAAACGGG
rnacentral:rRNA from 1 species